UAUAGUUUCACCAUUGUUGAGUGUGAGUGUAAGUGUGAGGGUGUUGAAGAGAGUUGGACUACUGGAAUGGUGGCUGUGUGUAGUCGACACAGCUGGCAGCUUCUAUUGACAACACUCCUCACCUGUCAUCAACGAUUCUCAGGUAAAAUGAGAGAGGAUCUAUCACCGUUCCAGAGUCGACGAUACGAUGUUUACCUGAAUACAAGUGUGAGUAACAGUCCUGUGAACAGUCAAAGCAUCCCACCUUUGUUGCGAUAGGCAACUCUUGUUUUGUACUUCUUUGUUGUAAUACAACUACUUGGACAGGCUGACAUCACAGGAACCUACAAAUCUACCACUGUCUGUGGCAAUGCAGAUUUUGCACAGUUCUCCAACAUUUCCACUGUCAUUGUUACCAUCAUCAUCAUCAUCACUAUGAUAUAUCAAAGAUUACUCCAGCUGGCCAUCUUCAUGGCGAUAAUUCUUCAGGUACCAGCUGGAAGGAAAUGUAAAUGGUCAAAUGAAGAUUGUUCAGACGAUUCUGAAUGUUGUAGUCACCAAUGCAAACAAGCACAUCCGGGGACAAAUUACAGAUGCACUCAGAAUCCAAUGAAUUACGCCUGUAUUUACGACUAUCACUGUGUUACUCGACUGAUCUGUGGCAGCGACCAACGCUGCUGUGCUGGUGAAUGGGGUGACUGUAUGCACAACUCGCAUUGUUGCGACCCUGCUCACAAUUGUAUUGAAGUCAAAGGCUUCAUUUAUAAACGUUGCCUUGAAGGAAAGACUAUACGAACAGCAACAGUUUCGAUUGUAGCCAUAAGCCAUUGCCUCCUUUUCUCACUUGGAUUGUGGUUAAUGUCAUUUUAAAGCAGAAGAAAACGGAUAAAAACGUGCCCCGUCACGUAUUUCAAACAUUUCAGGGGAGAUAACUAUUGGCUACUCUGUGAUACCAUAGUUUUCCAGAGAUUUCAAUGAAGAAAUAUAAAACUAAAAACGAAAUUUUCUCUUUAUUUCAAACUAGAGUUGCUAAGAUGUUUCCCGUUUUUAUCUGGAUAAAUUUGAAAAAAAAACAGUUUAGAAAGUUUAAUCAAACGACUUUACUGUUGCCUCGUUACUUGAUAGACUUAAAUUGUAGGGAACCAAUACUUAAUAAUUUGGGGUUUUUGUCGGGGAAAAGGAUGUUUCUGAUUCACUCUUUUCUUCCUCAAGAAGGCGUCCCUGAGUAUUUCUGGAUUAGCGAAGUUAUCUCCCCUGAAACACAAAUUUCGCCAAAUAACGCCAAACUCGUGACUGAAAUUUUUAUUCUCGUCGGUCAUCUACAUUUAUUCUUUCCGAUACAUUUAAUCAGUUGCUAAGAGUAAUGUCUUUCUAUUUCUUAUUUUUCAUAUAAUUCCACGUCAGUACCUAACUUUAUACAUCUCUUAACUUUCGUUGUUUCCUUAAAUGGUAGUGUGUGCCUCCAAAACACACUUGGGCAGAAUGGUAUCUAAGACCCUGGCUUGCCAGACAUCAGAAUUCCUUCCUUUUGUCUUGCCAGUAUGAUCCUGAGAAGAACGGAGUCACAUGCCUGGCAGUAGCUUGACCUCAAGGAAACUGGUGAUAAGUGCCUUGCCCAGGAACAUAUAUAGCCAUUGAGCUGCUCACUACAUUCAUGCAAAAUUAAGACUAUAGCAAAAGUUCUCAUUGAUUAAAUGAGAUGGUUUCUUUUACACACAUGCAUAUAACUUCCAAAAUAAUUCUUUAAAAUGUGUUAGAAGUUGGGGUUUUUUUUUCUUUUUCAGAAUUUUUAAACUAAAUAUGAGGAAAUUUUCUUUCCAUAGAUUGUGUGGUGUGUAUUUCUCACUAAUUUUCUUACGGUUUCUUCUCGAUUCUUUUUUUCAUUUAUAACGUUUAUUACUCUUGUUGCGGCUGGUUUAGCUGUGACCUAUUGGGAUGCUACCAUUUAAUAAACAAUUGAAGACUCAACUUGUAGGAAGUGCAACAUUGAUUUUCCACAUGACUUGCACUUACAGAACUGGAUCUUCAAUCUGUA